rnacentral:tRNA from 1 species
GCCCAAGAUGGCGGAAUUGGCAGACGCACCAGCUUCAGGUGCUGGCGGUCGCAAGGCCGUGGAGGUUCGAUUCUUCUCUGGCACCA